AACGCGAAGAACCUUACCUGGCCUUGACAUCUACGGAAUUCUUCAGAGAUGAGGAAGUGCCUUCGGGAACCGUAAGACAGGUGCUGCAUGGCUGUCGUCAGCUCGUGUCGUGAGAUGUUGGGUUAAGUCCCGCAACGAGCGCAACCCUUGUCCUUAGUUGCCAUCAUUAAGUUGGGAACUCUAAGGAGACCGCCGGUGACAAACCGGAGGAAGGUGGGGAUGACGUCAAGUCAUCAUGGCCUUUAUGGCCAGGGCUACACACGUGCUACAAUGGCAGGUACAGAGGGAAGCCAACGCGCGAGCGGGAGCCAAUCCCAGAAAGCCGAUCCCAGUCCGGAUCGUAGUCUGCAACUCGACUACGUGAAGUCGGAAUCGCUAGUAAUCGCGGAUCAGCUAUGCCGCGGUGAAUACGUUCCCGGGCCUUGUACACACCGCUAGUC
rnacentral:rRNA from 1 species